GUGGGCCGAAACGUUGUUUCGAUUUUGCUCCAAUAAAUAUAUUCUAGAGUCAAAUGUGAGGCCAUCUGUGCGACAGCUCCAGCUUGUCGGACAUUGGGUCAUGCAACAGGACAAUGAUCCCAGGCAAAUCUACAACAGAAAGGCUGAAAAAAAAAAAAAGAAUCAAGUUGCAAUGGCACAGUCAAAGUUUAUACCUCAACCCGAUUGAAAUGCUGUGGCGGGCUCUUAAGAGAGCUG